AGCAGUAGCCGCGGUAAUACGAAGGGUGCAAGCGUUAAUCGGAAUUACUGGGCGUAAAGCGUGCGUAGGCGGUGAGUUAAGUCUGCUGUGAAAUCCCCGAGCUCAACUCCGGAAUUGCCUUUAAGACUGCCGAGCUAGCAGGUGAGAGAGGUAAGUGGAAUUCCGAGUGUAGCAGUGAAAUGCGUAGAUAUGCGGAGGAACACCGAUGGCGAAGGCAGCCCCCUGGGCCAAUACUGACGCUCAUGCACGAAAGCGUGGGGAGCAAACAGGAUUAGAUACCCCAGUAGUCCCUGUCUCUUAUAC
rnacentral:rRNA from 1 species